UCCGGUUCAUCACCAGCAGUCUCCUUAGAGUCCCCACCAUUACAUGUUGGCAACUAAGGACAAGGGUUGCGCUCGUUACGGGACUUAACCCAACAUCUCACAACACGAGCUGACGACAGCCAUGCAGCACCUGUCUCUCGGUUCCUUUCGGCACCCCCGCAUCUCUGCAGGCUUCCGAGGAUGUCAAGGGCAGGUAAGGUUUUUCGCGUUGCAUCGAAUUAAACCACAUGCUCCACCGCUUGUGCGGGCCCCCGUCAAUUCCUUUGAGUUUUAACCUUGCGGCCGUACUCCCCAGGCGGAGAACUUAUCGCGUUAGCUUCGAUACUUAUGCGCUCGCGCGCACCAACAUCUAGUUCUCAUCGUUUACCGCGUGGACUAC
rnacentral:misc_RNA from 1 species